CCUACGGGAGGCUGCAGUGAGGAAUAUUGGUCAAUGGCCGAGAGGCUGAACCAGCCAAGUCGCGUGAGGGAAGACGGCCCUACGGGUUGUAAACCUCUUUUGUCAAGGAGCAAAGCGAGGCACGUGUGCCUCAUUGAGAGUACCCGAAGAAAAAGCAUCGGCUAACUCCGUGCCAGCAGCCGCGGUAAUACGGAGGAUGCGAGCGUUAUCCGGAUUUAUUGGGUUUAAAGGGAGCGUAGGCGGGGUGUGAAGUCAGUGGUGAAAAUUGGGGGCCCAACCCCCUAAUUGCCUUUGAAACUGGAAGUCUUGAGUGCGGUAGAAGUAGGCGGAAUGCGUGGUGUAGCGGUGAAAUGCUUAGAUAUCACGCAGAACUCCGAUUGCGAAGGCAGCAUAC
rnacentral:rRNA from 1 species